CUUUCAUUUUCAGCCCUGCUCUUUAAAUACUAGACAUACCGUCUGGCGCAUGUCGAGGCGUGUAUUAUUUUGAUCCAGUGCGCGUGCCGUAUGUGACUUGGCUUGGCUUCCCCUGAAAGCAGCGGCUGUGGGGAGUUGAUUCGGAAGUGAAGGGCCCUGGGCGACCCGGCGAGUAGAGGCAACACCAACACUCCUCCUUAGCGAGGGGUCUCCCCGCCGCGGUGGCUGCCCGGCCCCAAGGACAGGAGGGAUUUGUGCACUGACUCCUGACCCCGUCCUCCAGCGCUGCUCUGAAGGGAGAGUCUGUGCAGUGGCACCUGCGCGAAGCUGGCCAAAGCCUGCCCAGACGGCUCACCUGUGCGGGAUGGAACAAAAGAAUUUCGCUCUUGUUGCCCACUGUUGUCCAGGCUGGAGUGCAAUGGCACGAUCUCAGCUCACCACAACCUCCGCCUCCUGGGUUCAAGUGAUUCUCCUACCUCAGCCUCCUGAGUAGCUGGGAUUACAGGUCGGCUUGAGGUUUGCGAGUCCCAGCUCCCACUGCCCCUGCCACCUGCCUUUCCCUUCUCAGGACAUACACAGGACUGGGAGAAAAUAGACUAAGCUGGAGUACAAUGGCAUGAUCAUGGCUCACUGCAACCUCCGCCUCCAGGGUUCAAGCAAUUCUCCCGCCUCAGAGUCCUGAGUCGCUGGAACUACAGAUGCACACCACCAUGCCUAAUUUUUCUACUUCUAGUAGAGAUGAGGUUUCACCAUGUUGGUCAGACUGGUCUUGAACUCCUGACCUCAGAUGAUCUGCCCGCCUUGGCUUCCCAAAGUGCUGGGAUUACAAGCAUGAGCUACUGUGCCCGGCCUUUUUUAUUUUUUUGAGAUAGAGUUUUGCU